rnacentral:rRNA from 1 species
UGGGGAAUAUUGGACAAUGGGGGCAACCCUGAUCCAGCAAUGCCGCGUGUGUGAAGAAGGUCUUCGGAUUGUAAAGCACUUUCGACGGGGACGAUGAUGACGGUACCCGUAGAAGAAGCCCCGGCUAACUUCGUGCCAGCAGCCGCGGUAAUACGAAGGGGGCUAGCGUUGCUCGGAAUGACUGGGCGUAAAGGGCGUGUAGGCGGUUUACACAGUCAGAUGUGAAAUCCCCGGGCUUAACCUGGGAGCCGCAUUUGAUCACGUG